GUGUCAGCAGCCGCGGUAACACCGGCAGCUCUAGUGGUAGCAAUUUUUAUUGGGCCUAAAGCGUCCGUAGCCGGUUUAAUAAGUCUCUGGUGAAAUCCUGUAGCUUAACUGUGGGAAUUGCUGGAGAUACUAUUAGACUUGAGACCGGGAGAGGUUAGAGGUACUCCCAGGGUAGAGGUGAAAUUCUGUAAUCCUGGGAGGACCGCCUGUUGCGAAGGCGUCUAACUGGAACGGUUCUGACGGUGAGGGACGAAAGUUAGGGGCGCGAACCGGAUUAGAUACCCGGGUAGUCCUAACUGUAAACGAUGCGGACUUGGUGUUGGGGUGGCUUUGAGCUGCUUCAGUGCCGAAGGGAAGCUGUUAAGUCCGCCGCCUGGGAAGUACGGUCGCAAGACUGAA
rnacentral:rRNA from 1 species